rnacentral:rRNA from 1 species
AUGGAAUCAUGGUCACCACUCGUUCCAUUUUUGAUUUUAGUCAAGAUAAUUCUCAUUUUAACAGUUGGAGUGUUUGCCUUGACAAAAUCACUGAUUCUUGAGACACCAAGACCUAUCAUAGAAGUACAAAGUACUGAUGCUGAUUACAUCAUUACUCUGCUAGUUCUCGCUAUAGUCCUUGUUGUUGAACUAGCACAGGCAGCAUUUUAUCUGGCUUCAGAUUGGGUCCAGGUAUCAGUAGCCUGCAGGUAUGUCAAGAAAAAUUGUAAUGCAGCCAAUGCACGUUUUGGAAGAGUUGUUGGUUUUCUUAGAAGGGUUAUUAAUUCUGGAUCCUUGAGAAAUAAGAUCAACCAACACUCAGUUGUUCUUCGACGGAAGCACUUAGACCCAAUAGAGGUUUCUGAUGCAGUGAAGGGGGCUAUUGCUAGGUCGCUCAUAUUAACUGAUGGCAACCUAACCAACGGAGAAACAUCACUAAGGAAGAACCAAAUGUUCGGGAAGUGUUAUUGGACAUUCAGGGAUCACUCUCAGCUGGAAGUCAUGUUCAUUUGGCAUAUCGCAACCGAGUAUUGUGAAAUUUCUGACGAUGAUAGAAAUGGGAUUACUCGACAUAAUGGCUGA